rnacentral:lncRNA from 1 species
GCUUGGAGAAGAGGAGGAGGCUGAAAAGAAGGCAAAGAGUGAAGAUAGAGAAACAAGAUGGAAGUGGGGGAGAAAAACAGGGAUGAGAGAAUGCCAUGGUGGUGCUGAGAAGGAAAGGAGAGACUUUUCUGCUUGUAAAGGGCAGAAGAUGGCAGAAUCCAGUGACGCAGGGGCAUCUGGCUCCAGAAAUAAUAGGUCACUUGGCACCCACUUCUUCAAAACAACUCGUAGAGGUACCACCUUGGUUGUCUUGGAUAAAAUCUGGAAUAAUUAUCUGGGUUACCAGGAGAGACCCUUGUUCUUUUCGCUUACUUUCUCCAAAACAUAUGAAGCCUCUCUCUCUGUGCUGAACCACCUGGAACUGGAGGUGUGAUGAGUUAUAGAGAUGAAAAUGCAUAUGGAAUUAUCAUGCAAAUUACCAAUAAAGAGAAUCACUGGUCAGAAUCCCUAUAUUUUGGAGAAGAAAAAUUUUGAAAACCAGUCAGAAUUCAAUCAACUGCAGUUGGGAGAAAGACAGCGAGUAGCUUGAGAGAGAUGAGAAACUAUCAAAAAGAAGUUCCUGACAUGGCAACAGUGUAUCAUCCAAUGAAUCAAUCGCCUCACCCAACACUGUAACACUUCCUGGCCUAUUGACUCAGAGCAUGAGGAAACCAAAGUGACCAGGGAUUAAAAGCUAUCUCUGGAGAAGAUGAUGUCAGCAAGAUGGCAGAAUAGAAAAAUCCAGGUCCUGGUUCCACCACAGAAACAUGAAGUAAACAACAAAGGAAUGGCUUAAUAGCCUUGUGAGAGCUCUAGAAACCAGUCAAGA